GGUUGAAUGGUGUAACGGUAGCACAUAAGAUUUUGAACCUCCAUUGAGGAAUAUUCUUGUGACCUGGGUUCGACUCCCAGUUCGACCU